GUGAUAUUUGAUACAGCCAGUCUGUUAAUCAAGCACAUUCUGAUAAGGUUGACCAUAUGUUAGACAAAUUUCAUAGAAAUAGUUGCUAUGGUAAUUAAGUUUAUAGGAAAUCUGAAUGUAAUGGGAUGGUCACUUUUGUGGUUAUUUCCUGUUGUGUAUUUGUAAGAAAGCAGUGAAACGAAGAAAACAAAAAGAGAAAAUCUUAUUAUCUGAGGUUCAAAGAAAAAGAAAGUGACAUGUAAGGUAUUUGAGUACUACAGAAGACAAAAUAAUUCAGAGGGCAAAAGGAAUAAUACAGAGCUAGGAAUAAUAGAAAUUAUUGACAACAUCCUGGCUAGAAAAUGCAUGUGAAUGGAGAUGGGAAAAAAUGCAUUCUACCAUUUGAUAGCCCAGAAUGAUUAAGUUUAAGAAAAGGUACGUGUAGUGAAAUAACUUUUAUGAAGAUAUGCUAAACUGGAUAUUAAAAGGAUGUAACAUUGGACGGAGCCAGAAAUAGUGACAAAACAAAGUGUAGCAGAAAACAAAAAGAACACUCUUGUGAAUAAAAACCAUGUUGGAAUACAGAACUAGAAAAAUAGCUGUAUAAAAUGAAUUAUCAAGGUCGUCAUACAGAGCUUGGAUAUUGCAACAUAAACUGUAAUGAUAUUAUACAAAUGGGAUAAAUGAAUUAUCAUGAAUAGACUUUAAAAUUUUCAUUCUAUAGAUCUGAUUUAGCAACGUAUAGAUACAAAAAAGACUUUUUUUAAAUUUGCUGGUUGUCUAGCUAAUAAUAAAUUAUAUUUAAUCAUA